rnacentral:rRNA from 1 species
ACUGGGCGUAAAGCGAGCGUAGGCGGAUUUGUAAGUUGGAGGUGAAAUCCCAGAGCUUAACUCUGGAACUGCCUUCAAAACUACAUUUCUUGAGUUUGGUAGAGGAGAGUGGAAUUCCUAGUGUAGAGGUGAAAUUCGUAGAUAUUAGGAGGAACACCAGUGGCGAAGGCGACUCUCUGGGCCAAUACUGACGCUGAGGUUCGAAAGCAUGGGUAGCGAACAGGAUUAGAUACCCUGGUAGUCCAUGCAGUAAACGAUGAGUGCUAGAUGUUGGGAAUUUAAAUUUCCAGUAUCGCAGUUAACGCGUUAAGCACUCCGCCUGGGAAGUACGGCCGCAAGGCUAAAACUCAAAUGAAUUGACGGGGACCCGCACAAGCGGUGGAUCAUGUGGUUUAAUUCGAAGAUACGCGAAGAACCUUACCGGCCCUUGACAUACCAAUCGCGGACUUAAGAGAUUAAGUCUUUCACUUCGGGUGGAUUGGAUACAGGUGCUGCAUGGCU